AGGAUUCAAUCUGGCGUCUUGGACGCGGUGGUCGGGGGCUUCCCAGGGGCCGUCCGACUCCGCCAUCCCGACGCAUUUGUCUCUCGUCCGAAGGACGCCGCAACCGGUCGGCCAGUGCAAGCGCGACGGCCUGAAGGGCGGGAAAUGGCAGGUGGCCGGUGGCUGUCUUCGUGACCGUCGCCGGUUGUUAGCCGUCCCGUCAGUGGCUCGUCGCUCGACCGAGGUGUCACGAGGCCCUGAAUGGGCUCUCACGCCUCCUCCCAGUCGGGACAGACCGUCGCAGGUGCAGUCCGCCGUCCCCUCGCACACUUCCGGUGUGGCUGGGCGGCCGUUGGCGAUGGCGGGCCCGUCGGAGGCUGGAGGCUUGCGGCGAGUAGGUCGGUCACCCACCCGACCCGUCUUGAAACACGGACCAAGGAGUCUAACAUGUGCGCGAGUCAAUGGGUCUUGAACAGGCCCAGGGGCGCAAUGAAAGCGAAGGUCGGCGCACGCCGACCGAGUUGGGAUGGGCGCACCAACGACCCGUCCUAUCCGGCUCUCCGGUUGGGCGGAGUGUGAGCGUACACGUUGGGACCCGAAAGAUGGUGAACUAUGCCC
rnacentral:rRNA from 1 species